GCAAGUCGAACGGAGGUAGGGAGCUUGCUCUCUACUUUAGUGGCGCACGGGUGAGUAACGCGUAGAUAAUCUGCCUGACGAUCUGGGAUAACACUUCGAAAGAGGUGCUAAUACCGGAUAAGCCCACGGUUUCUUUGGAGACUGCGGGAAAAGGGGGGGACCUUUUGGCCUUCUGUCGUCAGAUGAGUCUGCGUACCAUUAGCUAGUUGGUAGGGUAAUGGCCUACCAAGGCUACGAUGGUUAGCUGGUCUGAGAGGAUGAUCAGCCACACUGGAACUGAGACACGGUCCAGACUCCUACGGGAGGCAGCAGUGGGGAAUUUUGCGCAAUGGGCGAAAGCCUGACGCAGCAACGCCGCGUGAGUGAUGAAGGCUUUCGGGUCGUAAAGCUCUGUCAAUGGGAAAGAAGUGUACGAGGGCUAAUACCCUUUGUACUUGACGGUACCCAUAAAGGAAGCACCGGCUAACUCCGUGCCAGCAGCCGCGGUAAUACGGGGGGUGCAAGCGUUGUUCGGAAUUAUUGGGCGUAAAGCGCGUGUAGGCGGUUUGAUUAGUCUGAUGUGAAAGCCCUGGGCUCAACCCAGGAAGUGCAUUGGAUACUGUCAGACUUGAAUACGGGAGAGGGUAGUGGAAUUCCUAGUGUAGGAGUGAAAUCCGUAGAUAUUAGGAGGAACACCGGUGGCGAAGGCGGCUACCUGGACCGAUAUUGACGCUGAGACGCGAAAGCGUGGGUAGCAAACAGGAUUAGAUACCCUGGUAGUCCACGCCGUAAACGAUGAGUACUAGGUGUUGCGGGUAUUGACCCCUGCAGUGCCGCAGCUAACGCAUUAAGUACUCC
rnacentral:rRNA from 1 species